rnacentral:rRNA from 1 species
GACGAACGCUGGCGGCGUGCCUAAUACAUGCAAGUCGAGCGAAUCAAUAGGAGCUUGCUCCUGUUGGUUAGCGGCGGACGGGUGAGUAACACGUGGCAACCUGCCUGUAAGACUGGGAUAACAUCGGGAAACCGAUGCUAAUACCGGAUAAUCCAUUCCCUCUCAUGAGGGAAUGUUGAAAGUCGGUUUCGGCUGACACUUACAGAUGGGCCCGCGGCGCAUUAGCUAGUUGGUGAGGUAACGGCUCACCAAGGCGACGAUGCGUAGCCGACCUGAUAGGGUGAUCGGCCACACUGGGACUGAGACACGGCCCAGACUCCUACGGGAGGCAGCAGUAGGGAAUCUUCCACAAUGGACGAAAGUCUGAUGGAGCAACGCCGCGUGAGCGAUGAAGGCCUUCGGGUCGUAAAGCUCUGUUGUUAGGGAAGAACAAGUACCGGAGUAACUGCCGGUACCUUGACGGUACCUAACCAGAAAGCCACGGCUAACUACGUGCCAGCAGCCGCCGUAACAC